UUUCCGUAGGUGAACCUGCGGAAGGAUCAUUACUGAGUGAGGGCCCCUCGGGGUCCAACCUCCCACCCGUGUUUAACGAACCUUGUUGCUUCGGCGGGCCCGCCUCACGACCGCCGGGGGGCAUCUGCCCCCGGGCCCGCGCCCGCCGAAGCCACCUGUGAACGCUGUCUGAAGUAUGCAGUCUGAGACAAUUAUUAAAUUAAUUAAAACUUUCAACAACGGAUCUCUUGGUUCCG
rnacentral:misc_RNA from 1 species